rnacentral:rRNA from 1 species
AUUGAACGCUGGCGGCAGGCCUAACACAUGCAAGUCGAGCGAGCGGCGGACGGGUGAGUAAUGUAUGGGGAUCUGCCCGAUAGAGGGGGAUAACGACUGGAAACGGUGGCUAAUACCGCAUACUAUCGUAUGGGCCCAUACGGGAUUAGCUAGUUGGUGGGGUAAAGGCUCACCUAGGCGACGAGUUCUAGCUGGUCUGAGAGGAUGAGCAGCCACACUGGGACUGAGACACGGCCCAGACUCCUACGGGAGGCAGCAGUGGGGAAUCUUGCACAAUGGGCGAAAGCCUGACCGAGCAAUGCCGCGUGAAUGAAGAAGGUCUUCGGGUUGUAAAGCACUGUUAUCAGGGAGGCGGUAUCUGACCAAGAAGCAACGGCUAACUACGUGCCAGCAGCCGCGGUAAUUC